AUGAUGGUAGGCCCCAAGAGAAGUAAAGGUUUUGUGGUCAAGCUUCGUGGCCUGCCUUGGUCCUGCUCCAUCAAGGAAGUGCAGAACUUCCUCUCCAACUGCAUGAUCCGUGAUGGGGCCACAGGCGUUCAUUUCAUCUACACUAGAGAGGGCAGGCAGGGUGGUGAGGCCUUUGUUGAAUUUGAAUCAGAAGAUGAUGUAAAAAUGGCCCUGAACAAAGACAGGGAAAGCAUGGGACACCGAUACAUCGAGGUGUUCAAGUCCUACAGAACAGAGAUGGAUUGGGUGUUGAAGCACAGCGGUCCCGAUAGCUUUAAUGAUGGAGUCCUCCGUCUGCGAGGACUCCCAUUUGGACGCACAAAGGAAGAAAUUGCCCAGUUCUUCUCAGGAUUGGAAAUCGUGCCAAAUGGGAUCACAUUACCUGUGGACCCCAAGAGCAAGAUCACGGGGGGAAGCUGUUGUGCAGUUUGCCUCACAGAAGUUGGCUUUGAAGGCGCUGGCGAAGCACAAGGAGAAGAUAGGGCACAGGUAUAUGGAAGUGUUCAACAGCAGUCAGGAGAUCCCCCUCUGAAGUUUCUGUUUGUGCAGAGGCUGAGGCCCUAUAACCGCCCUGACCCAGCUAGGAGAUACACUACCAUCACGAAGCAAGUGGGCCUGGAGAGGAUGCGGCCUGGCACCCACAGUGCGGGCUAUCACGGCUACGAGGAGUACAGCGGCCUCAGCAACAGCUACGGCUUUUCCACCGGCCUGUUCGGGAGAGGCCUCAGCUACUGCCUCUCAGGCAUAAACGACCGUGAGUUCACAGUGCAGAACACCACCAGGCACUGCGUCCACAUGAGAGGGCUGUCAUACAGAGCAACCAAGAAUGACAUUUAUAACUUCUUCUAUCCACUCGACCUUCUGAGAGUGUACGUUGAGAUUGGCCCAGAUGGAAGAAUGACCGGCGAAGCAGACGUGGAGUUUGCCACUCACGAAGAGGCUGUGGCGGCUAUGUCCAAAGACAGGGCCAACAUGCAGCAUAGAUACAUAGAACUCUUCUUGAAUUCGACAACCAGAGCCAGCAAUAGAUCGUAUGUAUAGCAGCCUGCUGACACCAGGCAUGGGGGUAUCAUCAGCCCGGGCCACUCACAGGGGUCUGGAGAGCCAGUCACUGAGCGGCUGCUACAGGGCUGGCUACAGCGGUCUGAACAGCAUGGGCAGAUACCACUAGUUCUGCAGGAAUGUUGAAGUUUUAUCAACCAAACUUUCACAGGCAGCCAACAAGCAAUGAAGAACAGUUAUAACUCUAGAGGAAGCUGUGGUACCCAUUUUGCACCAUGAGUUUGUAAAAUCUCGAUUAAAAAAAAUUACCUCUUCAGUGUUUUCUCUUGUAAACUUUUCUUCUAGCGUGUGAUACUGAGUGAACUAAAACUAUUUUCAGCUUUUCUCAAUCAACAUUUUGGUAGUAUACGUCAGAGUGAUGUUAUCUGAGUUCAAGUAGUUUAAAUAUGUUAAAUAUGGACCUUUUGCCACCACACCGCAGUGAAUACACUGGGGAGACAUGCUUUUUUGGAAAACUUAAAGGUGCUAGCUCCCCGAUUCAAAAGGAAGUAUUUCUCAUGUUUGUUCAUUCUAGUUUAUACUUUCAUUUAAAAUCUUUUAGGUUAAGUUGAAGGUUUUUAAGAGUUAGUUUUGAGAAUUGAGACACAAUACUAAUACUAUAGGAAUUGGUGAAGCCUUGAUUUAAAACUUUCUUUGUACUGUGAUUUACUUUUGGGUAUAUUUUGCUAAGUGAAACUUGUUAAACUUUUUCUUAAAACAGAGAUCUUUUUCAUAAUGAAAA